AAUGAACGCUGGCGGCAGGCCUAACACAUGCAAGUCGAACGGAUCCUUCGGGAUUAGUGGCGGACGGGUGAGUAACGCGUGGGAACAUGCCCAAAGGUACGGAAUAGCCUCGGGAAACUGGGAGUAAUACCGUAUGUGCCCUUCGGGGGAAAGAUUUAUCGCCUUUGGAUUGGCCCGCGUUGGAUUAGGUAGUUGGUGGGGUAAUGGCCUACCAAGCCGACGAUCCAUAGCUGGUUUGAGAGGAUGAUCAGCCACACUGGGACUGAGACACGGCCCAGACUCCUACGGGAGGCAGCGGUGGGGAAUCUUAGACAAUGGGGGAAACCCUGAUCUAGCCAUGCCGCGUGAUCGAUGAAGGCCUUAGGGUUGUAAAGAUCUUUCAAUUGGGAAGAUAAUGACUGUACCAACAGAAGAAGCCCCGGCUAACUCCGUGCCAGCAGCCGCGGUAAUACGGAGGGGGCUAGCGUUAUUCGGAAUUACUGGGCGUAAAGCGCACGUAGGCGGAUCAGAAAGUCAGAGGUGAAAUCCCAGGGCUCAACCUUGGAACUGCCUUUGAAACUCCUGAUCUUGAGUUCGAGAGAGGUGAGUGGAAUUCCGAGUGUAGAGGUGUAAUUCGUAGAUAUUCGGAGGAACACCAGUGGCGAAGGCGGCUCACUGGCUCGAUACUGACGCUGAGGUGCGAAAGCGUGGGGA
rnacentral:rRNA from 1 species